UUUAUUAAGGUUAAUACUGGUAGACUGCUUAAGAAAUGGCAUGCUCACUAUAGAGGUGUUAGUUGCUUGGUAUUUCGGGAUGAUGGCUCCCUGCUGAUUUCGGGGUCGGAGGAUGGAGGCAUUAGAGUUUGGUCUCUUACAGAUUAUUCAGUGAUUAUCAAAGUCAACAAGAAAGCCAUUUGUACAUGCAUAACUUUACGGAGCACACUCUUUUUGUAACGGAUGUGGUCGCAAGAUAUGGUGGAUGCAACCAUUAUAAUGCCAGCAUCUCAGGAUCACACGUUGGGAGAGAUGGCAAGAUAUGCGUUGCUGCACUAAAUGCUGAGAGCCCACUUAACAGCAAGUAUGGGUUGCAUCUCAUCGAUUGUUUCUCGAAUCACAAGUCUCUCUUUUCCUAUAGGGAACCUGUUGAUGAACU